GUGGCAAAAUGGCCGCCCCUGAGAUAGAUCAAACCAGGUGGAUUUUGCCUAUUUAAUUCCUAUUCCACAAACAUUGCUCAAAACACUGUGUUUUGACUAGUUGGGUUGCACAGAACAUAUUAUUCCAAAGAAAACCUUUGGGUUGACUUCUAUGAGAGAUUAGAAUAGAUUGGAAAUAGAUUCACCAAGGAAUCACCAGAGUCCGGACAUUUCAUGAAGGCCACUAUCGCUCUGGCUUACCUUCGAUGAGAUGCGUAGUUGCCGGUGAUGUGUCCGCUGCCAUCACAGCCUGGAGUCGGACAUCUACAAUGUCAAGGACGGAGGGAACAGGCGGAAACUUGACUUUGAAGCUGCUGGUAGUAACUUCCCCAGGGUACUUCCUCUCCUCUAGGUUCUCCGGGUUCUCCGGGUUCUCCUGGUCCUCAUCCUCAGCAUCAGAAGACGUGUAUGAGGUGGCUGUAUAGUCUACCUGAUGACAAGUUGAUAAGACAAAAUUCUCCAGUGUACAGUUUCCGUACAUAGUUUCUAUCCAGCGUGCUCAGUGGGUGACUUUGAGUGGCUGUACCUCAUCGUGGCCUUCCUCCUUUACUCCACUUGAUUUCGUAAAAUCGAGUGGCCCCUCCCACUCGGGCUGAGCGUGGCCCUGAGAUGACACACCUAUUGUGUGUUGAGAAGACGAGGAGGAGGACGACGAAGGCUCCGGAGACUGCAUGCUCUCUCGCUUGUUUUUUUUAAUGCUGAGGUCCAAGGUGCCGUUCUCGUCCACUUCGAUGUCAGGCUCCUACAUGAACAAAAGAGAAGCUUGUCAAAGAACAGCAACCGCCCCGUCGGCUGUAAUGGGAGUGGAAUCCGUCGAACCUCGGCGCAGGGCUCCCUGGGAUUGGCGCUAAGGCUCUCCGGUCGUUCCCAACAGCGAGUGGACAGGUUGAGGAUAGCCGUCGCUGCCAUGUGAGCCGCCUCGGCGUCUUGACUGCAGUCGUACUCAUUGGAGGACAAAGUGCUGUUGGAAAUGCCUCCUGACCCUGUCCCGCUUGGAGAAGAGGCCUUAGGGAAGGAUUUUGCUGUGUGGGGAAGAGGCAAAGCCGAGGUUAGCUUCAACAUUUCUUCCAACUACGUAUCAACAAAUAAUGUACUGUAACAGACACAGCACAGCACAGCACAUUGUAAUGAUCUCCAGACAGAGACACUAUGUGAGAGUGACUGAGCGAGAUCAGAGCAAUCUCAUUGGCUGCUUUGUAAAACCUUUGUAUGAUGUCAUUGCCACAUGGUCAGCUCUUAUGAAGAAUAUUUGAUCAAAUGUUUGCCCAGAUAAUGAAUCUUUGACAAUCAAGAAAAUGUUUUCCUAAAACGGACCUCAUUAACUUGUAAUUGAGUAGCACUGGUAUCGCGAUAUUGUAUUGCGCGGUUUAGGAUGUUUCACUUACAUUUGAAGGCUUUGGGUAAUGUUUCAGUGGUGGUUGUCUUUGGAACAAGCAUACGCUUUCCAAACACCUGGACAUCAAAGCUUGCAUAGUCAAAAGACACCUUGGAAUAUUUCUCCAACUCUUUGGCCAGGUUUGCUCGUGGUGUGGUGGUGACCGCAUUGGGCCCGUAAUUGCCAUACUGAGGGAUCUCCAGCUGUUUCACAAAACACAUGGGCCUGGAAAGAAAAAAAUAGGAGUGACUAAUCAUCGCAAAUAUUAUUGGAUAAUAAUAAUAAUAAAGAUGCCUGACCUGA